GCCAAAAUAGCUCAGCUGGGAGAGCAUUAGACCGAAGGUUCUUGGUUCAAUCCUGGGCUUUGGCA